AGUGCCAACAGGGCGCUGCUGACGGAGGCGGUGACGGAGCCCGUGCUUAGUCCAGGACCCUGCUUAACCGGCUGCUGGAUCUGACCUGUGGGAGGAAGAAGAGGUCAGCUCUUGUGGUCUCAGUCAGCUGCGUCCUCGAGACAACCAACGGUGGUGAGAAGACGUGCCAAGGGAAAUUAAAUAGUGGGACUGAGGAACGGGUUGACACGAGACGCCAAAGAAAACGUAUUUCAGGCUUUUUUUUCAAGGGAUAACAGAGGUUGGGCGCGAGGGCGUCGAGUCAAACUUGAAGCCCAGAUGAGCCAAAGAUGGGAUGUUCAUGGCCCGCUCAGCCUUCCUCAGCCUUCCUCAGCCUUCCUCAGCCUCCCUCAGCCUUCCUCAGCCUUCCUCAGCCUCAGGCCAGCCUCCUUCAGCCUCUG